rnacentral:rRNA from 1 species
CUGCGAUAAGCGCCGGUAAGGUGAUAUGAACCGUUAUAACCGGCGAUACCCGAAUGGGGAAACCCAGUGUGAUUCGUCACACUAUCAUUAACUGAAUCCAUAGGUUAAUGAGGCGAACCGGGGGAACUGAAACAUCUAAGUACCCCGAGGAAAAGAAAUCAACCGAGAUUCCCCCAGUAGCGGCGAGCGAACGGGGAGGAGCCCAGAGCCUGAAUCAGCAUGUGUGUUAGUGGAAGCGUCUGGAAAGGCGCGCGAUACAGGGUGACAGCCCCGUACACAAAAGCGCAUGUGCUGUGAGCUCGAUGAGUAGGGCGGGACACGUGGUAUCCUGUCUGAAUAUGGGGGGACCAUCCUCCAAGGCUAAAUACUCCUGACUGACCGAUAGUGAACCAGUACCGUGAGGGAAAGGCGAAAAGAACCCCGGCGAGGGGAGUGAAAAAGAACCUGAAACCGUGUACGUACAAGCAGUGGGAGCACAGGUUUACCUGUGUGACUGCGUACCUUUUGU